rnacentral:sRNA from 21 species
CUGUGCCGUAUCGAAGAUGAUAUAGGCAACAUAUGUCAUAUACCUUGCUGUAUAUGACACAGCACUCCGCGACAGGACCAGGCUCGUCCUGUCUCAUCGUCGCACUAUGGUGCGACGACGCGAUUCCGUGUUGAAUGACGUUUGCCCUCGUCUGGGCAACGUCCGGAGGA